CUCCAAGAGAACUGUACAAUAUACCUCCUCAUUUUAUUACAUACUACGAUGUUUUCUUUUUUUAUUACAAUGGUUUGCAAUAUAGUUUAGCUGCAUUUUCUUUUCUUUUUUUCAAUUUCUUGUGCUGAAAACGAAAUAAUUUCUAGUAUGGGAAUCUAACUUCAUUUUUAGUUGCUCAGAUCAUUUGCAUUAUUUUUUUCCUUUUAUUCAAUUUUAAAGACUAAUAAAGGUUAGACAAGCGAGAAUCCGAAAGGCUGAUACUCCAUUCUAUCAUUUUACAUUAUGUAUAAAAGGAGAUUGGAGUGUCAGAAGAUUAUUUUGGAGUGUCCAUUAUUAAUCUUCACAGCAAAAACUGCAAACUGAUCAAAAUAGAUUUUACACAGCAUACCUCUCCACCCAAGAAACGAAUACCCAUAACAAGCAUUGGUAACAUCGCAAGACUCCGAAAAAAACAAGCAUCUUCUGUUGUGACAAGAGAGCCACUACUCCAGAAAGCUAAAAUCCCACAAACCAAAUAAGCAUCUUCUACUGUUGAGUGAAAUUUUUUUAAAAAAAAAAAAAAAAUUGACU
rnacentral:lncRNA from 1 species